GCGCCCGUAGCUCAGCUGGAUAGAGCACAAACCUUCUAAGUUUGGGGCCGCAAGUUCGAAUCUUGCCGGGCGCA
rnacentral:tRNA from 1 species